rnacentral:lncRNA from 1 species
AAAAAAUAUGAUAUUUAUAAAAAAUGUAAAUUACAUUACAAAAUUAGAUUAAAAAAAAUUUUUGUGCACGACGUAGAAUCUAGUUUAACUUAUUUCCUAAACCUUUUUUGUAAAAAGGUUGUCAUACUGAAAUUGUUUUUUUCAAAUAAAUAGAUGCUGGCAUGAAAUUUAGAACUAAAGACCCAUAAGGGAAAAAGAAACAAAGAGAAGAGGCCUGAUUCGUAGUCCCUAAUGGGUCUGGAAAGGCAAACCCAACCGAAAAGGCAAACCGGUAAAAUCGUACAAAAACAAGAAACCCUAAUCGACAAAAAUCUACGACCAAAGAAGAUGCCGCCACCGUCUCCGUUAACGAGAAACCGCUGCACCGCGAAGACCGAUGCCAAAACUCAACGAAAGAACAGACCACCACCUGGGAAAAGGAACCGACCACCACCUGGGAAAAGGAACCGACCACCAGAGCGCCGCCGCUUUGAAAAACUUAUCUGAGGGAGAAGAAUGCGGGAUUUGCAGAAAGAGGAAAAUCAGAUCCGGUACACGCCGCCACCGAGAUUUCAUUUUAGAUUCGCCACCGGCGAAUUUACUCCGCAAAUCAUCAGCGGUAUUUGAUACCCUAAAUUACCUCCUCCAAGAAUUCUUUUCAAGACCCGCCGAUGUCCUCAAAAAGUCGAGCUUACUCAACAAUCCUCAACGCACCUUGACAACCCACAAGCUCGUAUCUCCACCUUGACAACGGCGGAGCAGCACCAGAACCAUAGUAGCGGAGACGCCAAAUCUUCCGACGAAAGCCAAAGAGGAAGCACCACCGGAUCGUAGUCCUCGUUAGAUCCGGAUCUGCGGGCGACUUCCACCUUCCACCACCGACAACUCGAAGCUGCAUCGCCGGAAAGCAAAACAAAACACCAGAAGAACUAGGGCAGAGACCUAACCACAGGCAAGGAAAGAGAAACCUUCUCACGGCACCAGCGAGGAGCGCUGGUAAUCAAAGAGGAGCGCCGGUAACCGGAGAAGCAAAGAAGAGGUGAGAAAAGGGAGUGCGGCUAGGAUUUGUUUUGGGAGAAAAAUCGCCGCUCAAAAGCAGAAAAGCUGGAUUUCACUUUCACAUUAUGACAACAACCUUGUUUCCUAAACCUAUAUAUGCAUUUUGUGCAAUAUCUUCUAUAAACUAUAUGAUCAAUCUGAUGGCAUGUACCCGCUUUUUAACUAGGGCGCCAUUUUAAUUUUUGUUGUUUCCAAAUAAUUCGUGGUAAAAAAAAUCCAAAAUCGAUCAUGAUUUUUGAGCAAAAAAAC